AAUAGAUACCCUGGUAGUCCUAGCCGUAAACGAUACUCGCUAGGUGUCGGCCACGGUGCGACCGUUGUCGGUGCCGUAGGGAAGCCGUGAAGCGAGCCACCUGGGAAGUACGGCCGCAAGGCUGAAACUUAAAGGAAUUGGCGGGGGAGCACCACAACGGGUGGAGCUUGCGGUUUAAUUGGAUUCAACGCCGGAAAUCUUACCGGGACCGACAGCAAUAUGAAGGCCAGGCUGAAGACUUUGCCGGAUUAGCUGAGAGGUGGUGCAUGGCCGUCGCCAGUUCGUACUGUGAAGCAUCCUGUUAAGUCAGGCAACGAGCGAGACCCACGCCCACAGUUGCCAGCGUACUCUCUGGAGUGACGGGUACACUGUGGGGACCGCCGCUGCUAAAGCGGAGGAAGGAAUGGGCAACGGUAGGUCAGUAUGCCCCGAAUAUCCCGGGCUACACGCGAGCUACAAUGGUUGGUACAAUGGGUAUCUACCCCGAAAGGGGACGGGAAUCUCCUAAAACCAAUCUUAGUUCGGAUUGAGGGCUGCAACUCGCCCUCA
rnacentral:rRNA from 1 species